CCAGACUCCUACGGGAGGCAGCAGUGAGGAAUAUUGGUCAAUGGCCGAGAGGCUGAAUCAGCCAAGUCGCGUGAGGGAUGACGGCCCUACGGGUUGUAAACCUCUUUUGCCGGGGAGCAAAGAGCGGGACGCGUCCCGCCUCGAGAGUACCCGGAGAAAAAGCAUCGGCUAACUCCGUGCCAGCAGCCGCGGUAAUACGGAGGAUGCGAGCGUUAUCCGGAUUUAUUGGGUUUAAAGGGUGCGCAGGCGGAGGCGAAGGUGGGGGGUAAAUUGGAGGGCCCCACCCUCUCCCCGCCGUUGAAACUGCGUUUCUUGAGUGGGCGAGAAGUACGCGGAAUGCGUGGUGUAGCGGUGAAAUGCAUAGAUAUCACGCAGAACGCCGAUUGCGAAGGCAGCUUACCGGCGCUCAACUGACGCUGAGGCACGAAAGUGCGGGUAUCGAACAGGAUUAGAUACCCCGGUA
rnacentral:rRNA from 1 species